CUCGCUGUAGCUCAGUGGAAGAGCACCUGAUCGCGCUGGUUAGGAGAUGUCGGUUCGAUUCCGGCCGGCGAGG
rnacentral:tRNA from 1 species